GGGGAAUAUUGCACAAUGGGCGCAAGCCUGAUGCAGCGACGCCGCGUGGGGGAUGAAGGCCUUCGGGUUGUAAACUCCUUUCGCUAGGGACGAAGCUUUUUGUGACGGUACCUAGAUAAGAAGCACCGGCUAACUACGUGCCAGCAGCCGCGGUAAUACGUAGGGUGCGAGCGUUGUCCGGAAUUACUGGGCGUAAAGGGCUCGUAGGUGGUUUGUCGCGUCGUCUGUGAAGUUCUGGGGCUUAACUCCGGGCGUGCAGGCGAUACGGGCAUAACUUGAGUGCUGUAGGGGUAACUGGAAUUCCUGGUGUAGUGGUGAAAUGCGCAGAUAUCAGGAGGAACACCGAUGGCGAAGGCAGGUUACUGGGCAGUUACUGACGCUGAGGAGCGAAAGCAUGGGUAGCGAACAGGAUUAGAUACCCUGGUAGUCCAUGCCGUAAACGGUGGGCGCUAGGUGUGAGGGUCUUUCUACGACUUUCGUGCCGUAGCUAACGCAUUAAGCGCCCCGCCUGGGGAGUACGGCCGCAAGGCUA
rnacentral:rRNA from 1 species